UCUUUCGAAUAGGUGGGAAUUGUCAUACGACAUUCGUCAAGGGGAAUUUCUGUCACAUUAUUUUGUGGCCCAGAAAACCACAUUGAGGUAGUAUUGAAGUCAAACUUGUUGUUCCUGGUUGCUAAAUCUGCCGGAUUUUCCAUUCCAGGAACCCAAUUGCACAAGCGGGGUGGUCUUCCAUCUUCGCGCAAUAUGCCUUUGCAAGCUCAUCGUCCUGGUCGAGCUUUUUCUCAACUGCAUACAGUCUCUUCAAUGCCAUUUCUCUCGAUGGCGGGACACUUGGAGGAUCCACCUGCUUCCAUAGCAGGCCAGUUUCAAAGCGCCCAUCCGGAGUUUUCUUUGUUGUUCGCUGCAUAAUUUCCAGUGCUCUCUUGUCUUCACGUGAUAGCGCCUUUCCGGGCGGUCCCGUAUCAUGAGACUCCAUCACGAAAGUAUUUUUCACCAUUUCCAUUAGUUCAUCAUGUCGCUCUACAAUGGAAUAGAGCUUUUCCUCAGCGGGAGGAUUUUCAACACACAUUUUGCCCAACACUACCCAACCCAGCAAUGUACGGACAAGGUAAGGGGCAUGCCAUGGUCCCUUGAUAACCUCCAAACUUGAGAUAAGAGGCGUGUUGUCCAAUCCAAUCAAUAUCUCGGGUACGGCGUCCUCCAUGGAUUCUACCGGUGCUUCCGCGAGAUGUUUCCAGUGGCUGGACAGUAAGGCAAUGUCCACAGUUUGUUUUGGCAAAGUCAAUUCUGCCACAGUGCGCACAUUUUUCAACAAAUAGCGCUUUGCUCGAGGGAAUGUUCCCUGGAUUCUGCACUCCACAAUCCUUGAAGUCAGAUCAGAACACAUUUCCGGAACGGCUCCUUGCCAUGUCAAAGGUUCAUUGCGUCCAGUGACGCCCAAUCGAUCAGCCAACGAUUGUUUCAUCAAAGUAAGUGUAGAUCCCUCAUCCAGGAAAGCGUACACCUUAAAGGUUCCAUUUGGUCCCAUAAUAUGAACGGGAAGGAUUUUCAUCAAAGUUUUAUCCGGUAUUGCCACGUGUGCCACUGUGUUGGCUGGAGGUGUCUCUGCCCCCUCCUGUGAAGGAGGCUCCUCUACUGUGACAUUCAAUGAUUCAUCUGUUGACGCAUUUUGUACCACCGGGGAAGCAUCCUUGUGAAGUAAAGUAUGAUGCGGUGCCUUGCAGUUGGGCUUCGAACAUCCAUCUUUAGCUUUGCAGUUUGUCGCUGAAUGAUUUGGCUUCAGACAUCGGAAGCAAACCUUUUUAUUUUUGGCGAGAUUCCACCGAUCUGCCACAGAAAGUUUCCCAAAGGUGUCGCAUUUGUGAGGAGGAGAAAGUUCGCAGUCCCUGUGUUGGAGAUCCUUUAGUGACGCAGAAUUCCGACCACGAAAUUUGCAUGGCCAGAGGCAAUUUCGGCAAUAGCUCGUCCAAGAGCUGAGGAUUAUCGAUGUAGCAACCUCGAUUGAAGCGCGCAACGGCAGCAACCAUGUUUGAAACAGCCACAGAGAGCUUAACCAAAGUCUCUGGCUUAUCGGCUUUGACGGGUGGCAUCGCUUUAAUCUGAGCAAUCAUCGUCCUGAUCAGGUGCUCAGGUUGUCCAUAUCUCUCCUCCAGCGAUGACAUAAUCAAGUCCACAUUUUCGGGCAAGAAACAAUGGCCAAUCCUGCACAUUUCCAUCAAAUUUGUGAGCAUCCGUACCCACCGAUUGCCUCAUCAUAAGACGUUCCAUCAUUUGAACCAUAUCCUGAUUCUGCGUGACGGGCUUUUGCUCCUUCCCGGCAUUCACAGCCGCCUCCAGAGCGCAUUGAAGGUCAUCAGCUGACAUAGUGACGAUCUUCUGUUUUGGAACUUCCUCUUGAUGCUCCUUUGAUGAGUUCCGGAGUUUAUCAAAUCUCCCUAGAACCUCAUCCAAUUUGUCCUCCGACAAGUCAAUCUGGUUAUUUUGAGACGCUUUUUCAGUGUGAUGGUUGAGCUCAUCAUUGCCCAACGGAGAAUCUUCCUGUGCCUUGAGAAGACUACGACGCGUUUUCAAAUUGCUGAUUUCCAGCUUCAACAUCUCCAAUUCUAAUUCUUUCUGCUUCCUCUCAGCAUCAAGAUCAUCAUUUUCCUCAAAUCCAUAGCGAUUCGGAGGAACACCUUUAUUUUGUCGUUUGCUCCUACGGGGCGCCAUUUUGUCAAAUCAAUCAAUGUACCACACACCGCAGAUCCGUGGGUCGCUUUUUCGAUCUUUGGGUCGAUGGACCAAUUGUUAGGGAUCGCAAGUCAAGUAGUGGACUGUAUUUAUAUAUUUUAUUUUCCAAAUUAUGAUCUACGGUGUGGGUGGGUGGCGAGGAUGGCAAAUAAGGCAAAUGAAUGAAUAAUGGCGAAAGUAUGUAUGAAUGUGAGGGAUUCUGCAAUAAAUUGUUCUAAUUAAAUUAUUUCUAAAUGUGCUACAAAUGA